CAGUCGCCGCGGUAAAACGUAGGUCCCGAGCGUUGUCCGGAUUUAUUGGGCGUAAAGCGAGCGCAGGCGGUUAGAUAAGUCUGAAGUUAAAGGCUGUGGCUUAACCAUAGUACGCUUUGGAAACUGUUUAACUUGAGUGCAGAAGGGGAGAGUGGAAUUCCAUGUGUAGCGGUGAAAUGCGUAGAUAUAUGGAGGAACACCGGUGGCGAAAGCGGCUCUCUGGUCUGUAACUGACGCUGAGGCUCGAAAGCGUGGGGAGCAAACAGGAUUAGAUACCCCCGUAGUCCCUGUCUCUUAUACA
rnacentral:rRNA from 1 species